rnacentral:rRNA from 1 species
GCUAAUACCGCAUAAUGCCUACGGGCCAAAGAGGGGGACCUUCGGGCCUCUCGCGUCAAGAUAUGCCUAGGUGGGAUUAGCUAGUUGGUGAGGUAAUGGCUCACCAAGGCGACGAUCCCUAGCUGGUCUGAGAGGAUGAUCAGCCACACUGGAACUGAGACACGGUCCAGACUCCUACGGGAGGCAGCAGUGGGGAAUAUUGCACAAUGGGCGAAAGCCUGAUGCAGCCAUGCCGCGUGUAUGAAGAAGGCCUUCGGGUUGUAAAGUACUUUCAGUUGUGAGGAAGGGGGUGUCGUUAAUAGCGGCAUCUCUUGACGUUAGCAACAGAAGAAGCACCGGCUAACUCCGUGCCAGCAGCCGCGGUAAUACGGAGGGUGCGAGCGUUAAUCGGAAUUACUGGGCGUAAAGCGCAUGCAGGUGGUUCAUUAAGUCAGAUGUGAAAGCCCGGGGCUCAACCUCGGAACCGCAUUUGAAACUGGUGAACUAGAGUGCUGUAGAGGGGGGUAGAAUUUCAGGUGUAGCUGUGAAAUGCGUAGAGAUCUGAAGGAAUACCAGUGGCGAAGGCGGCCCCCUGGA